rnacentral:tRNA from 1 species
GCCCCCAUCGUCUAGUGGACUAGGACGCCGCCCUUUCAAGGCGAAAACAGGGGUUCGAAUCCCCUUGGGGGCA